GAUAAACGCUGGCGGCGUGCUUAACACAUGCAAGUCGAACGAAGUUUUUCUUUCGGGAGGAACUUAGUGGCGGACGGGUGAGUAACGCGUGGGUAACCUGCCCUGUACAGGGGGACAACAGCUGGAAACGGCUGCUAAUACCGCAUAAGCCCUUAGCACUGCAUGGUGCAUAGGGAAAAGGAGCAAUCCGGUACAGGAUGGACCCGCGUCUGAUUAGCCAGUUGGCAGGGUAACGGCCUACCAAAGCGACGAUCAGUAGCCGAUCUGAGAGGAUGUACGGCCACAUUGGGACUGAGACACGGCCCAGACCCCUACGGGAGGCAGCAGUGGGGAAUAUUGCACAAUGGAGGAAACUCUGAUGCAGCGACGCCGCGUGAGUGAAGAUGUAUUUCGGUAUGUAAAGCUCUAUCAGCAGGAAAGAAAAUGACGGUACCUGACGAAGAAGCACCGGCUAAAUACGUG
rnacentral:rRNA from 1 species